ACGAACGCUGGCGGCGUGCCUAAUACAUGCAAGUUGAGCGCUGAAGGUUGGUACUUGUACCAACUGGAUGAGCAGCGAACGGGUGAGUAACGCGUGGGGAAUCUGCCUUUGAGCGGGGGACAACAUUUGGAAACGAAUGCUAAUACCGCAUAAAAACUUUAAACACAAGUUUUAAGUUUGAAAGAUGCAAUUGCAUCACUCAAAGAUGAUCCCGCGUUGCAUUAGCUAGUUGGUGAGGUAAAGGCUCACCAAGGCGAUGAUACAUAGCCGACCUGAGAGGGUGAUCGGCCACAUUGGGACGGAGACACGGCCCAAACUCCUACGGGAGGCAGCAGUAGGGAAUCUUCGGCAAUGGACGAAAGUCUGACCGAGCAACGCCGCGUGAGUGAAGAAGGUUUUCGGAUCGUAAAACUCUGUUGGUAGAGAAGAACGUUGGUGAGAGUGGAAAGCUCAUCAAGUGACGGUAACUACCCAGAAAGGGACGGCUAACUACGUG
rnacentral:rRNA from 1 species